UACGAAGGGGGCUAGCGUUGUUCGGAAUCACUGGGCGUAAAGCGCACGUAGGCGGAUUGUUAAGUGAGGGGUGAAAUCCCAGGGCUCAACCCUGGAACUGCCUCUCAUACUGGCAAUCUCGAGUUCGAGAGAGGUAAGUGGAAUUCCGAGUGUAGAGGUGAAAUUCGUAGAUAUUCGGAGGAACACCAGUGGCGAAGGCGCUUACUGGAUCGAUACUGACGCUGAGGUGCGAAAGCGUGGGGAGCAAACAGGAUUAGAUACCCCCGUAGUCC
rnacentral:rRNA from 1 species